rnacentral:tRNA from 1 species
AUUCAUGUAGUUUAAUAAAACAUUCCAUUUUCAAUGGAAAAAUGGAAGUAUCCCAUGAAUU